rnacentral:sRNA from 1 species
GCUGGGCAUGGUGGUGCAUGCCUAUAAUCCCAGCAGCUCGGGAGGCUGAGACAGGAGGAUCAAACUUCAAAGCCAGCCUCAAUGAUGGCAAGGUGCUAAGCCAUCUCAGUGAGACCCUAUCUCUA